UACAGAGGGUGCAAGCGUUGUUCGGAAUUAUUGGGCGUAAAGAGCUCGUAGGCGGUGUGUCGCGUCGGCCGUGAAAACCUGGGGCUUAACUCUGGGCUUGCGGUCGAUACGGGCAUCACUGGAGUUCGGCAGGGGAGACUGGAAUUCCUGGUGUAGCGGUGAAAUGCGCAGAUAUCAGGAGGAACACCGGUGGCGAAGGCGGGUCUCUGGGCCGAUACUGACGCUGAGGAGCGAAAGCGUGGGGAGCGAACAGG
rnacentral:rRNA from 1 species